GCUGGGUGCAGUGUUGCAUGCCUGUAAUCCUAGUGGCUAGGGAGGCUGAGGCAGGAGGAUCAUGUGUUCAAAGCCAGCCUCAGCAAUUUAGCAAGGCCCUAAGCAACUCAGUGAGACCCUGUCUCUA
rnacentral:sRNA from 1 species